rnacentral:rRNA from 1 species
CUCCGGUUGAUCCUGCCGGACCCGACUGCUAUCAGAGUGGGACUAAGCCAUGCGAGUCAACAUAGCAAUAUGUGGCAUACGGCUCAGUAACACGUAGUCAACAUGCCCAGGGGACGUGGAUAACCUCGGGAAACUGAGGAUAAACCGCGAUAGGUCAUCACUUCUGGAAUGGGUAAUGACUUAAAUCUAUAUGGCCCCUGGAUUGGACUGCGGCCGAUCAGGCUGUUGGUGAGGUAAUGGCCCACCAAACCUGUAACCGGUACGGGCUCUGAGAGGAGGAGCCCGGAGAUGGGCACUGAGACAAGGGCCCAGGCCCUAUGGGGCGCAGCAGGCGCGAAACCUCUGCAAUAGGCGAAAGCUUGACAGGGUUACUCUGAGUGAUUUCCGUUAAGGAGAUCUUUUGGCACCUCUAAAAAUGGUGCAGAAUAAGGGGCGGGCAAGUCUGGUGUCAGCCGCCGCGGUAAUACCAGCACCCCGAGUGGUCGGGACGUUUAUUGGGCCUAAAGCAUCCGUAGCCGGUUCUACAAGUCUUCCGUUAAAUCCACCUGCUUAACAGAUGGGCUGCGGAAGAUACUAUAGAGCUAGGAGGCGGGAGAGGCAAGCGGUACUCGAUGGGUAGGGGUAAAAUCCGUUGAUCCAUUGAAGACCACCAGUGGCGAAGGCGGCUUGCCAGAACGCGCUCGACGGUGAGGGAUGAAAGCUGGGGGAGCAAACCGGAUUAGAUACCCGGGUAGUCCCAGCUGUAAACGAUGCAGACUCGGUGAUGAGUUGGCUUAUUGCUAACUCAGUGCCGCAGGGAAGCCGUUAAGUUUGCCGCCUGGGGAGUACGGUCGCAAGACUGAAACUUAAAGGAAUUGGCGGGGGAGCA